rnacentral:rRNA from 2 species
CUAUAAUGCAGUCGACGAACUCUGGUAUUGAUUGGUGCUUGCAUCAUGAUUUACAUUUGAGUGAGUGGCGAACUGGUGAGUAACACGUGGGAAACCUGCCCAGAAGCGGGGGAUAACACCUGGAAACAGAUGCUAAUACCGCAUAACAACUUGGACCGCAUGGUCCGAGCUUGAAAGAUGGCUUCGGCUAUCACUUUUGGAUGGUCCCGCGGCGUAUUAGCUAGAUGGUGGGGUAACGGCUCACCAUGGCAAUGAUACGUAGCCGACCUGAGAGGGUAAUCGGCCACAUUGGGACUGAGACACGGCCCAAACUCCUACGGGAGGCAGCAGUAGGGAAUCUUCCACAAUGGACGAAAGUCUGAUGGAGCAACGCCGCGUGAGUGAAGAAGGGUUUCGGCUCGUAAAACUCUGUUGUUAAAGAAGAACAUAUCUGAGAGUAACUGUUCAGGUAUUGACGGUAUUUAACCAGAAAGCCACGGCUAACUACGUGCCAGCAGCCGCGGUAAUACGUAGGUGGCAAGCGUUGUCCGGAUUUAUUGGGCGUAAAGCGAGCGCAGGCGGUUUUUUAAGUCUGAUGUGAAAGCCUUCGGCUCAACCGAAGAAGUGCAUCGGAAACUGGGAAACUUGAGUGCAGAAGAGGACAGUGGAACUCCAUGUGUAGCGGUGAAAUGCGUAGAUAUAUGGAAGAACACCAGUGGCGAAGGCGGCUGUCUGGUCUGUAACUGACGCUGAGGCUCGAAAGUAUGGGUAGCAAACAGGAUUAGAUACCCUGGUAGUCCAUACCGUAAACGAUGAAUGCUAAGUGUUGGAGGGUUUCCGCCCUUCAGUGCUGCAGCUAACGCAUUAAGCAUUCCGCCUGGGGAGUACGGCCGCAAGGCUGAAACUCAAAGGAAUUGACGGGGGCCCGCACAAGCGGUGGAGCAUGUGGUUUAAUUCGAAGCUACGCGAAGAACCUUACCAGGUCUUGACAUACUAUGCAAAUCUAAGAGAUUAGACGUUCCCUUCGGGGACAUGGAUACAGGUGGUGCAUGGUUGUCGUCAGCUCGUGUCGUGAGAUGUUGGGUUAAGUCCCGCAACGAGCGCAACCCUUAUUAUCAGUUGCCAGCAUUAAGUUGGGCACUCUGGUGAGACUGCCGGUGACAAACCGGAGGAAGGUGGGGAUGACGUCAAAUCAUCAUGCCCCUUAUGACCUGGGCUACACACGUGCUACAAUGGAUGGUACAACGAGUUGCGAACUCGCGAGAGUAAGCUAAUCUCUUAAAGCCAUUCUCAGUUCGGAUUGUAGGCUGCAACUCGCCUACAUGAAGUCGGAAUCGCUAGUAAUCGCGGAUCAGCAUGCCGCGGUGAAUACGUUCCCGGGCCUUGUACACACCGCCCGUCACACCAUGAGAGUUUGUAACACCCAAAGUCGGUGGGGUAACCUUUUAGGAACCAGCCGC